rnacentral:lncRNA from 1 species
UCAGAUGGCUUAGCUUCCUAGUUUUAUAUGAAGAUAUUUUGGCCAAGCAGAGUUGGAAUUUGAUCGAGCUGGCAAUUACACUGCACUCAUUGUAAGUCCAUAGAAAGUAUUUCUCGAUCCUGUUGUAGUGAAGUUCCUCUGAGUGGCAAUUUUUUUUUUGAGCUAUGAUGCUUAGGUGCAAUUGAGGCUCAGUUUCUUCUUUUUUGUGUAAAAGGAUAAGGCUUCUUGAAUUCCUCAUGGCUGCAUUAUUGGUGAAUGAAGAAUAUAAUUUUGCUGCAUCUUGAUUUAACUGUUUAGACGAGGCACUAAAGGAUAUACUACUAUUUAGAGAAAUGAGGGUUUGCUUUAUUUUCCUAGUUUUUCUUGCAUAGGAUGCAGGCUUUAAUGCGAAGCUGCAAAUUCAAAUACGGAUGUCCUAGGUGUACUCUUGAUAGUUUUGUAGUGAAUUCCUGUAAAACGAUGUUAUUUGUGUAUAUAUAUGCAACCUGUCCUCUCUCUCACUAGCUCUCUUCCCCUCCUAUUUUAUUUUUUAGCCGGUGUCUCAUGUAGUAUAAACUCUUGUAUACUAUGUCAUUUCAUCCAAUGUUAUAAACAUGACAGGAAUAGACAUUUUUAUCAAAUAUCAAGUUUAGUAUGAGACAAAAUAGAUGAUUUGAAAUUUCUCUCAAAAAUAAAAUGAAACCACCAACCUUACUUUAUUGAAUGUAAACCAAGUAUAGCAUCCAAAAUUACAAAAAAACGGGUAACAUACUAAGCUGAACAAUACAGGUGAGGUACAAUUGGCAUAACAGAGAGCUUGAUUAUGUAUGUUUAUUGCUGAUGUUGGUUUAUUAGUUCUUCUGUUUGAUGUAAUCAGUGGCUAUUGUGGAGGUUUUUUCUGUUUGAGUAAUCAGUGGCUAUUGUGGAGGAUGAAUCCUCAUUAAGUUUCCAUUUCUGCAAGACUUGUGAGAGGCUCAUGCCGAAGUCUACCCUGAAGCUAUCUUCAUCUGCAGCUGGCUUCCACUGCUCCACCAGAGACGAGAGCACCGUGACGACAUGGCUCAUGUCAGGCCGUUGGUUGGCUUCUCUUGUGCAGUGCCCGGCUAGCUGGGCCGCCUUCCACAUACUUUCGAAAGUUUCCUCGUUUAAGUCUGAACGGAGGACAGGAUCCACAGCCUCUUUGAUCUGAUCUUUAUCUUGGAGGAAUG